CUGGCGGCGUGCUUAAAACAUGCAAGUCGAACGAGCACCUCGGUGCUAGUGGCAAACGGCUGAGUAACGCGUGGGUGACCUACCUGGAAGUGGGGAAUAACUGCCCGAAAGGGUGGCUAAUACCGCAUGUGAUGGCGAGUAUAGAGCUCGUCAUGAAAGUCUUCGGACGCUUCGAGAGGGGCCCGCGUUCGAUUAGCUAGUUGGUGGGGUAACGGCCUACCAAGGCGACGAUCGAUAGCUGGUCUAAGAGGAUGAUCAGCCAGACUGGGACUGCGACACGGCCCAGACUCCUACGGGAGGCAGCAGUUAGGAAUUUUGGGCAAUGGGCGAAAGCCUGACCCAGCAACGCCGCGUGGGUGAUGAAGGCCUUCGGGUCGUAAAGCCCUUUUUCAGGGGAAGAUGAUGACGGUACCCUGAGAAUAAGCCCCGGCUAACUACGUGCCAGCAGCCGCGGUAAUACGUAGGGGGCAAGCGUUGUCCGGAUUUAUUGGGCGUAAAGCGCGCGUA
rnacentral:rRNA from 1 species